rnacentral:miRNA from 1 species
UCCCCCCUCCCCACCUCUCCCCUCCCCUCCCCUCCUCUCUCUCUACCCCCUCCACUGUAUAACCCUGAGGGUCUCCUUCCAUUACCGUGGAGGGGGUAGAGAGAGAGGAGGGGAGGGGAGGGGAGAGGUGNCCAAGUAUU